rnacentral:rRNA from 1 species
UGAGGAAUAUUGCACAAUGGAGGAAACUCUGAUGCAGCAACGCCGCGUGGAGGAUGACGCAUUUCGGUGUGUAAACUCCUUUUAUUAGGGAAGAUUAUGACGGUACCUAAUGAAUAAGCACCGGCUAACUCCGUGCCAGCAGCCGCGGUAAUACGGAGGGUGCAAGCGUUACUCGGAAUCACUGGGCGUAAAGGGUGCGUAGGCUGGCUUUUAAGUCAGAUGUGAAAUCCAAUGGCUCAACCAUUGAACUGCAUUUGAAACUGAAGGCCUAGAGUUCAGAAGGGGCAGAUGGAAUUAGUGGUGUAGGGGUAAAAUCCGUAGAUAUCACUAGGAAUAUCAAAAGCGAAGGCGAUCUGCUGGGAUGAUACUGACGCUGAGGCACGAAAGCGUGGGGAGCAAACA